rnacentral:rRNA from 1 species
UCCUGACUGACCGAUAGUGAACCAGUACCGUGAGGGAAAGGCGAAAAGAACCCCGGCGAGGGGAGUGAAAAAGAACCUGAAACCGUGUACGUACAAGCAGUGGGAGCACGCUUAGGCGUGUGACUGCGUACCUUUUGUAUAAUGGGUCAGCGACUUAUAUUCUGUAGCAAGGUUAACCGAAUAGGGGAGCCGAAGGGAAACCGAGUCUUAACUGGGCGUUAAGUUGCAGGGUAUAGACCCGAAACCCGGUGAUCUAGCCAUGGGCAGGUUGAAGGUUGGGUAACACUAACUGGAGGACCGAACCGACUAAUGUUGAAAAAUUAGCGGAUGACUUGUGGCUGGGGGUGAAAGGCCAAUCAAACCGGGAGAUAGCUGGUUCUCCCCGAAAGCUAUUUAGGUAGCGCCUCGUGAAUUCAUCUCCGGGGGUAGAGCACUGUUUCGGCAAGGGGGUCAUCCCGACUUACCAACCCGAUGCAAACUGCGAAUACCGGAGAAUGUUAUCACGGGAGACACACGGCGGGUGCUAACGUCCGUCGUGAAGAGGGAAACAACCCAGACCGCCAGCUAAGGUCCCAAAGUCAUGGUUAAGUGGGAAACGAUGUGGGAAGGCCCAGACAGCCAGGAUGUUGGCUUAGAAGCAGCCAUCAUUUAAAGAAAGCGUAAUAGCUCACUGGUCGAGUCGGCCUGCGCGGAAGAUGUAACGGGGCUAAACCAUGCACCGAAGCUGCGGCAGCGACGCUUAUGCGUUGUUGGGUAGGGGAGCGUUCUGUAAGCCUGCGAAGGUGUGCUGUGAGGCAUGCUGGAGGUAUCAGAAGUGCGAAUGCUGACAUAAGUAACGAUAAAGCGGGUGAAAAGCCCGCUCGCCGGAAGACCAAGGGUUCCUGUCCAACGUUAAUCGGGGCAGGGUGAGUCGACCCCUAAGGCGAGGCCGAAAGGCGUAGUCGAUGGGAAACAGGUUAAUAUUCCUGUACUUGGUGUUACUGCGAAGGGGGGACGGAGAAGGCUAUGUUGGCCGGGCGACGGUUGUCCCGGUUUAAGCGUGUAGGCUGGUUUUCCAGGCAAAUCCGGAAAAUCAAGGCUGAGGCGUGAUGACGAGGCACUACGGUGCUGAAGCAACAAAUGCCCUGCUUCCAGGAAAAGCCUCUAAGCAUCAGGUAACAUCAAAUCGUACCCCAAACCGACACAGGUGGUCAGGUAGAGAAUACCAAGGCGCUUGAGAGAACUCGGGUGAAGGAACUAGGCAAAAUGGUGCCGUAACUUCGGGAGAAGGCACGCUGAUAUGUAGGUGAAGUCCCUUGCGGAUGGAGCUGAAAUCAGUCGAAGAUACCAGCUGGCUGCAACUGUUUAUUAAAAACACAGCACUGUGCAAACACGAAAGUGGACGUAUACGGUGUGACGCCUGCCCGGUGCCGGAAGGUUAAUUGAUGGGGUCAGCGCAAGCGAAGCUCUUGAUCGAAGCCCCGGUAAACGGCGGCCGUAACUAUAACGGUCCUAAGGUAGCGAAAUUCCUUGUCGGGUAAGUUCCGACCUGCACGAAUGGCGUAAUGAUGGCCAGGCUGUCUCCACCCGAGACUCAGUGAAAUUGAACUCGCUGUGAAGAUGCAGUGUACCCGCGGCAAGACGGAAAGACCCCGUGAACCUUUACUAUAGCUUGACACUGAACAUUGAGCCUUGAUGUGUAGGAUAGGUGGGAGGCUUUGAAGUGUGGACGCCAGUCUGCAUGGAGCCGGCCUUGAAAUACCACCCUUUAAUGUUUGAUGUUCUAACGUGGACCCGUGAUCCGGGUUGCGGACAGUGUCUGGUGGGUAGUUUGACUGGGGCGGUCUCCUCCUAAAGAGUAACGGAGGAGCACGAAGGUUGGCUAAUCCUGGUCGGACAUCAGGAGGUUAGUGCAAUGGCAUAAGCCAGCUUGACUGCGAGCGUGACGGCGCGAGCAGGUGCGAAAGCAGGUCAUAGUGAUCCGGUGGUUCUGAAUGGAAGGGCCAUCGCUCAACGGAUAAAAGGUACUCCGGGGAUAACAGGCUGAUACCGCCCAAGAGUUCAUAUCGACGGCGGUGUUUGGCACCUCGAUGUCGGCUCAUCACAUCCUGGGGCUGAAGUAGGUCCCAAGGGUAUGGCUGUUCGCCAUUUAAAGUGGUACGCGAGCUGGGUUUAGAACGUCGUGAGACAGUUCGGUCCCUAUCUGCCGUGGGCGCUGGAGAACUGAGGGGGGCUGCUCCUAGUACGAGAGGACCGGAGUGGACGCAUCACUGGUGUUCGGGUUGUCAUGCCAAUGGCACUGCCCGGUAGCUAAAUGCGGAAGAGAUAAGUGCUGAAAGCAUCUAAGCACGAAACUUGCCCCGAGAUGAGUUCUCCCUGACCCUUUAAGGGUCCUGAAGGAACGUUGAAGACGACGACGUUGAUAGGCCGGGUGUGUAAGCGCAGCGAUGCGUUGAGCUAACCGGUACUAAUGAAC